UACAGAGGGGGCAAGCGUUGUUCGGAAUUACUGGGCGUAAAGGGCGCGUAGGCGGCCGCCUAAGUCAGACGUGAAAUCCCUCGGCUCAACCGGGGAACUGCGUCUGAUACUGGGUGGCUUGAAUCCGGGAGAGGGAUGCGGAAUUCCAGGUGUAGCGGUGAAAUGCGUAGAUAUCGGAAGGAACACCAGUGGCGAAAGCGGCUUCCUGGUCCAGCACCGACGUUCAGGCACGAAAGCGUGGGGAGCAAACAGG
rnacentral:rRNA from 1 species